UACGAAGGUGGCAAGCGUUGUUCGGAUUUACUGGGCGUACAGGGAGCGUAGGCGGUUGGAUAAGCCCUCCGUGAAAUCUCCAGGCUUAACCUGGAAAGUGCAGAGGGGACUGUUCAGCUAGAGGAUGGGAGAGGAGCGCGGAAUUCCAGGUGUAGCGGUGAAAUGCGUAGAUAUCUGGAGGAACACCGGUGGCGAAGGCGGCAUCCUGGACCGACACUGACGCUGAGGAGCGAAAGCCAGGGGAGCAAACGGGAUAGAUGACCC
rnacentral:rRNA from 1 species